rnacentral:rRNA from 1 species
GAUGAACGCUAGCGGCAGGCCUAACACAUGCAAGUCGAGGGGCAGCAGGAUUAAGCUUGCUUAAUUGCUGACGACCGGCGCACGGGUGCGUAACGCGUAUGCAACCUACCUUAUACUGGGGUAUAGCCCGGAGAAAUUCGGAUUAAUCCCCCAUAGUACUAAUGAAUCGCAUGGUUUAUUAGUUAAAGCAUUGCGGUAUAAGAUGGGCAUGCGUCCUAUUAGCUAGAUGGUGAGGUAACGGCUCACCAUGGCUACGAUAGGUAGGGGGCCUGAGAGGGUGGUCCCCCACACUGGUACUGAGACACGGACCAGACUCCUACGGGAGGCAGCAGUGAGGAAUAUUGGUCAAUGUGCGCAAGCCUGAACCAGCCAUGCCGCGUGCAGGAAGAAUGCCCUAUGGGUUGUAAACUGCUUUUAUUUGGGAAUAAACCUCUUUACGUGUAGAGAGCUGAAGGUACCAAAUGAAUAAGCACCGGCUAACUCCGUGCCAGCAGCCGCCGUAA